rnacentral:lncRNA from 12 species
GGGGGGGGGGGGGGGGGGGGGGGGGGGGGGGGGGGGGGGGGGGGGGGGGGGGGGGGGGGGGGGGGGGGGGGGGGGGGGGGGGGGGGGGGUUAGGGGGGGGUGUGUGCGCUCCAUUUGCGAGGAUACAGCGCUUUAAAGGUUUUAACUUUCUGCUGUAUUUAAAAAUUGUAUUAAAAAAUUAGAUUUUCCCCCAUCCUCCCCCGCCUCAGUUUUGGAAAACAACGAGGAAGGCGGCGGGGAAUCGCGUGAGGGCACAAAGCGGUUCUCAGAAAGGAGCGACGCUCGGUGCAUCCCGCUGCAGGUGUCCGGAGGGGUCUGGCAGGUCGCGGGGGGUACGAGCGCCUCAGCAGCCGCCUGCGGUGAGCCGUGUGCGCUGCCCGGGCCGGGCCCGGGCCUGCAGCGGGGCCGCUGCCUUUGUGCCGCUCCUCUGCCGGGGUGCGGCCACGGGGACAAUGACACCUGCCGGCCCCCGGACACCGGCAGCGACCUUGGCCCGAUCCUCCGUCCCGGAGGAGAGAUCGGCAGCGCCGCGGGGGGAGGAAGCACAGUGACACAGAUAUUAAUUAUUCACGGGACCCCGCGGGGUGAUCGCCGCUUCACGCGUGGCGAAGCAAGGCAGGAAUGCGCUGCUGGGAAAACGCCGCUCCGAUCAACACAAAGGCACGUGGAAGCAAGGCUGGGAUGUGCUGGAGGAGCUGGGUGUGCCGGACAGGCCAGCAGCAGCAGCAUCCCUGCGCAUCCCACUGCGGGAAGCUGCCGAGCACCCGGAGCUUGGUGGCUCUCGGCACACCGCAGGUGUGUGGCACUGCCAGAUGUGUUUUCAUCUCCAAAUCCUCUUGUCCAUCCCAAAGUCGCUGGAGAAGGCUUUCAGAAGUGUCAGUGGGGAAGGAUUCCUAUGCUGUGGUGUGAAAAGGUGCUGUGGGUGCCACUGGAGCCCAGCAGUGCCAGGGUGCAGCCAGGAACCAGCAGCUCACACACGUGGAAGAUUAAACUGGCAUCAAUUUGAGUAGUAAUGUCAAAACUAAACUGAACAAUUUGUUGAAAUUAAAUGCUUUGGAAGAAAAAAUUAUCCUCUGAAGGUCAAAUUGAAUGGCUCAGAUUUUUUUUCCCAUCAAUAUUUUCCUCCGUGUUCCCACAAAAUGGGUUGAUUUCAG